AGAAUAUUAGUCAAUGCUCGCAAGAGUGAACUAGCUAACUGAAAUCACAAAAUCACAAAAAGUGCUAUUGUGAUAAGGUAAGGGAAAAAAAUGAUAUCACCUUACUAAUAGUGUUGUCUAAAUUACUGGUGCCAGAAGACUCGGUAACACCAGAAACGCGAACGUUAGUCGUCUUAAACAGGCGUAAAGGGUAAGUAGGCUGCUUUAAAAUUCAUAAAUUAUUAAGAAGCUAUCUAAGUUAAAUUAAAAAAAUUUAGAUUUAAUUUAUUGGAUAUACUUAAAGCUAGGAUCUUAAUUGAGAUAAACCAAAUAAUACUUAAGUGUAAGGGCGAUAUCUGUAAAUACUAAGUAGAAUACUAACGGUGAAAACUUUUUAUCUAGUAAUGAUUGACGCUGAGGUACGAAAGCGAGAACAGGGAAUAGGAUUAGAUACCCAGUUACCUCUCGCCGUCAACGAUGAAUGGUAGUUGUUAUAUUAUUUAAUAUAUGUGACGAUGUUAACGCGAUAACCAUUCCGCCUUGAGAGUACGGUUGCAAAACUGAAACCAAAAAAAUUAGUCGGUCUCGGAGCAAACGGAGUGAAGCAU
rnacentral:rRNA from 1 species